rnacentral:rRNA from 1 species
GUGCCAGCAGCCGCGGUAAUACGGAGGAUCCGAGCGUUAUCCGGAUUUAUUGGGUUUAAAGGGUGCGUAGGUGGUUUGAUAAGUCAGCGGUGAAAGUUUGCAGCUUAACUGUAAAAAUGCCGUUGAAACUGUCGGACUUGAGUGUAAAUGAGGUAGGCGGAAUGCGUGGUGUAGCGGUGAAAUGCAUAGAUAUCACGCAGAACUCCGAUUGCGAAGGCAGCUUACUAAGCUACAACUGACACUGAAGCACGAAAGCGUGGGGAUCAAACAGGAUUAGAUACCCUGGUAGUCCACGCAGUAAACGAUGAUUACUAGCUGUUUGCGAUACACAGUAAGCGGCACAGCGAAAGCGUUAAGUAAUCCACCUGGGGAGUACGCCGGCAACGGUGAAACUCAAAGGAAUUGACGGGGGCCCGCACAAGCGGAGGAACAUGUGGUUUAAUUCGAUGAUACGCGAGGAACCUUACCCGGGUUUGAACGUAGGGAGACAGGGGUGGAAACAUCCUUUUCAGCAAUGACUGCCUACGAGGUGCUGCAUGGUUGUCGUCAGCUCGUGCCGUGAGGUGUCGGCUUAAGUGCCAUAACGAGCGCAACCCUUAUUUCCAGUUACUAACAGGUCAAGCUGAGGACUCUGGAGAGACUGCCAGCGUAAGCUGUGAGGAAGGUGGGGAUGACGUCAAAUCAGCACGGCCCUUACAUCCGGGGCGACACACGUGUUACAAUGGUAAGGACAAAGGGCAGCUACCGGGCGACCGGAUGCGAAUCUCUAAACCUUAUCUCAGUUCGGAUCGGAGUCUGCAACUCGACUCCGUGAAGCUGGAUUCGCUAGUAAUCGCGCAUCAGCCAUGGCGCGGUGAAUACGUUCCCGGGCCUUGUACACACCGCCCGUCAAGCCAUGGGAGCCGGGGGUACCUGAAGUUCGUAACCGCAAGGAUCGACCUAGGGUAAAACUGGUGACUGGGGCUAAGUCGUAACAAGGUAGCC